UUUCAUCGUUGUCUUCCUCCUCUUCUUAGUUUUUUUUUUCUUCUUACCAUUCUUUGUUGAACUUGGGAUAACUACAUACAACUUCCUUAUUUGCAUAAGUUGGUAAAAUUCGAGUCGAUCUAUUUCUCCAAUUUGAGUUUAUGCAAAGGAGUAAUGGCUCGAACAAAGAACCCAACUCUAUCGAAUCCUACAGAACCAGAUAAAAUCCUUGAAGCAUCAGAGAGGCACCACCCAAGUGUAUUUUGAUUCAACAAAUUCAAUCUCUCGCGGAGAUUCAACGAUGUUCAAGGAAGCGGAGAAGAAAAACAUGAAGAGAGGAUGUACAAUAGGCGGAGAACCCGAAAUGGGAGAAAAUAAAAAGAACGAGAAGGAGAAAAGUUCCAGUAAAGACUUGUGACGAUGUAGAAAAACCAAGUGAAGGAGGCAGUAAAAGGGUGAAGCGUACAAGCAAAAAUGCAAAGAAGGAGUCUAUUGUUGUGUUUAUGAGUCCUAUUGUAACAAAGCAUAAGAAGAUUUAAGUACUUUAUGAGUCAGUUUAUGAGAACUCCAUGUGUUGUUUUUGUUUUUGUCAAACAUGAUUUGGUUGUUUUUUAAUUUUUGGUAUAACUGUGCAGUUUGUUAAA